CUACGGGGGGCUCCAGUGAGGAAUAUUGCACAAUGGGGGGAACCCUGAUGCAGCAACGCCGCGUGGAGGAUGACGCAUUUCGGUGUGUAAACUCCUUUUAUAUGUCAAGAAAAUGACGGUAGCAUAUGAAUAAGCACCGGCUAACUCCGUGCCAGCAGCCGCGGUAAUACGGAGGGUGCAAGCGUUACUCGGAAACACUGGGCGUAAAGGACGCGUAGGCGGGUUGGAAAGUCAGGUGUGAAAUCCUACAGCUUAACUGUAGAACUGCACUUGAAACUUCUAAUCUAGAGCAUGGGAGGGGGAGAUGGAAUUAGUGGUGUAGGGGUAAAAUCCGUAGAUAUCACUAGGAAUACCUAAAGCGAAGGCGAUCUCCUGGAACAUUACUGACGCUAAGGCGUGAAAGCGUGGGGAGCAAACAGGAUUAGAUACCCUCGUAGUC
rnacentral:rRNA from 1 species